rnacentral:rRNA from 1 species
AUUGAACGCUGGCGGCAGGCCUAACACAUGCACGUCGAACGGAGUGGCGGACGGGUGAGUUUUGCCUAGGAAUCUCCUUGGUUGUGUGGUAUAACGUUCGGAAACGGGCGCUAAUCUCGCAUUCUAUCAGAUGAGUCUAGGUCGUAUUAGCUAGUUGGUGAGGUAAAGGCCUACCAAGGCGACGAUCCGUCACUGGUCUGAGAGGAUGAUGAGUCACACUGGAACUGAGACACGGUCCAGAUUCCUACGGGAGGCAGCAGUGGGGAAUAUUGGACAAUGGGCGAAAGCCGGAUCCAGCCAUGCCGCGUGUGUGAAGAAGGUCUUCGGAUUGUAAAGCACUUUAAGUUGGAAGGCGUUACCAACAGAAGAAGCACCGGCUAACUGCGUGCCAGCAGCCGCGGUAAUAC